UGCACCAGACAUUCUGCCAUCUGAAAUGAGACUACACUUCCCGUACUGCGUCACAGAAGAAUAUGAAACAGCCCUGGGAGCCAUUCUUCAUGCCUGGAAUGGGAUAAUAAAGCAUUAUUACAAGGCAGUAAGGUUCACUGUGCUCAGCACAAUAAAGGGAAUACUGCAGCCAUAAUGAAUGGCAUAAUGAAAAUCACAGCCCAAAGUCAAGUCUGGAUAAAAAACCCACAUAAAAGUCUCCAAUGCAUGAAAGACACUUCAAUGCACACCAGUCAUGAAAUCGCUAUAGAACACACAGUAAUGAAAGGCUGCGGAGCUUCCCUGACCACUAUCAGUAUGACUUAUAGCUGAAGGGAAAAGAAUACUUCUAGUGAUUCCUAGAAAGCCCAAAUGAAAAACCACACUCCAGGAAAAACUGAGCCCUUUUGUUACAUGGGGAAGAGAUGGUGCCAGGACGUGCAAUGGGUAGAAGACAACCCGGCAGAGACAGUGCUGACCUUCAUGUGGAUGUUACUUUGAUUCCACCUACCAAAACGUUGCUGCAGGAUUCCUCUUUCAGCAAGAUAAUGCGCACUGCCACACUGCAAAAUUGUUCAGGACUGCUUUCAGUUAGGGUAAAAGAUGAAGGGACGGAGACAAAGGCUUCAUACAAAGCUUUCCAGAUGGACGGGGGUGGGGGCUAAUGUGUAAUAAUACACAAGCAGUACAUAGCCGUCCUGUAAGGCAGGAACAUGCCAGGAUAAGAAGGCUCAUGUCUCAUAUAAAAACAAAGCAUGCAACUAUCUAAGGCCCCUUACACAAUACGGGUAUCAUCCUGUAAAACCCUCAGUUAUUACU